rnacentral:tRNA from 1 species
GGGUGCAUAGCUCAGUGGUACAGCAUCCCACUGAAUUAUGGAUUAUCCCCGGUUCAAUUGAACCGUGCACCCG